rnacentral:pre_miRNA from 1 species
AAUGUGUGGCACCGUUGAUUUUUUGUCCAACGUUUGACCAUUCGUCUUAUUAAAAAAUUAUGUAAUUAUCAUUUAUUUUAUUAUGACUUGAUUCGUCAUCAAAUGUUUUAAGCAUGACAUAAAUAUUUUCAUAUUUGCAUAAAAAUUUUGAAUAAAACGAAUGGUCAAACGUUUGAUCGAAAAGUCAACAGUGUCAUAUAUU